CUGAAACCAAAGCCUCCUUUUAGCCACUGCCUCUCAUUGCCACUCCAGGGGAUGUCAACACAGCAUGCAGUGCUCUCUGGGGCCCCUCCCUGCUCUGAGCUUCUUGAUUCCAUACUUGCCUCGAACCACCUGUGAGUUGGGGGCAGAGCCUGUCCUGUCCACUCUCUUGUGGUCUUCUCAGGAACUUCCAAGAACUGCAUUCCAUUUUUUAAUUCCCAACCUGUUAAACUGCUCACCCAGCUGCCACCCCUGAUGAAAGGGACAUCAGUGAAAUCCUGGAGUAAUGGUCUGUGAUCUGGAGCUAGAAGACCUAACCAUGUGGUCUUGGGAAGGUCACCUCCCCUUUGUAAGCCUCAGUUUUCUCCUCUGCACAAUGGGCGUGGGAAUGCCUUGUAAGUGUAAAGCAUGGAACUCACAUUACCAUUGUCCUGCCGGGUGGUCAACCUGUCUCCCCUCUCUCACUGGGCAUCAGAGAA
rnacentral:lncRNA from 1 species